AGCGGCGGACGGGUGAGUAACGCGUAGGAAUCUACCUAAUGGUGGGGGAUAGCCCAGGGAAACUUGGAUUAAUACCGCAUAAGUCCUAAGGGAGAAAGCGGGGGACCUUCGGGCCUCGCGCGAUUGGAGCGGCCGAUGUUAGAUUAGGUAGUUGGUGGGGUAAAGGCUCACCAAGCCGACGAUCUAUAGCUGGUCUGAGAGGACGACCAGCCACACUGGAACUGAGACACGGUCCAGACUCCUACGGGAGGCAGCAGUGGGGAAUUUUGGACAAUGGGCGCAGGCCUGAUCCAGCAAUACCGCGUGCAGGAAGAAGGCCUUCGGGUUGUAAACUGCUUUUGUACGGAACGAAAAGGCUCUUUCUAAUAAAGAGGGCUCAUGACGGUACCGUAAGAAUAAGCACCGGCUAACUACGUGCCAGCAGCCGCGGUAAUACGUAGGGUGCGAGCGUUAAUCGGAAUUACUGGGCGUAAAGCGUGCGCAGGCGGUUUUGUAAGACAGACGUGAAAUCCCCGGGCUCAACCUGGGAAUUGCGUUUGUGACUGCAAGGCUAGAGUACGGUAGAGGGGGGUAGAAUUCCGCGUGUAGCAGUGAAAUGCGUAGAUAUGCGGAGGAACACCGAUGGCGAAGGCAGCCCCCUGGACCUGUACUGACGCUCAUGCACGAAAGCGUGGGGAGCAAACAGGAUUAGAUACCCUGGUAG
rnacentral:rRNA from 1 species